GAAAUGCGAUAAGUAAUGUGAAUUGCAGAAUUCAGUGAAUCAUCGAAUCUUUGAACGCACAUUGCGCCCGCCAGCACUCUGGCGGGCAUGCCUGUUCGAGCGUCAUUUCAACCAUCAAGCCCCCCUCGGGCUUGUGUUGGGGUCCUGCGACUGCCCGCAGGCCCUGAAAACUAGUGGCGGGCCCGCCGCCGCGCCCGAGCGUAGUAGACUUUUCCUUCUCGCCCAGGGCGCGCCGCGGGGUCCCCCGGCCGUUAAACCCACCACCGAAAAACAAGAGGUUGACCUCGGAUCAGGUAGGAAUACCCGCUGAACUUAA
rnacentral:misc_RNA from 1 species